rnacentral:rRNA from 2 species
UGGGGAAUAUUGGACAAUGGGCGCAAGCCUGAUCCAGCCAUGCCGCGUGAGUGAUGAAGGCCCUAGGGUUGUAAAGCUCUUUCACCGGUGAAGAUAAUGACGGUAACCGGAGAAGAAGCCCCGGCUAACUUCGUGCCAGCAGCCGCGGUAAUACGAAGGGGGCUAGCGUUGUUCGGAUUUACUGGGCGUAAAGCGCACGUAGGCGGACUUUUAAGUCAGGGGUGAAAUCCCGGGGCUCAACCCCGGAACUGCCUUUGAUACUGGAAGGCUUGAGUAUGGUAGAGGUGAGUGGAAUUCCGAGUGUAGAGGUGAAAUUCGUAGAUAUUCGGAGGAACACCAGUGGCGAAGGCGGCUCACUGGACCAUUACUGACGCUGAGGUGCGAAAGCGUGGGGAGCAAACAGG